CUACCAAUCUAAAUAAAAGUUUUCAUGUGGUUCUUGCAUCGGAAGGUUAUCCUUACAAAAGAUAAUCUACGGAAAAGAAACUGGCAGGGUUGUAAAUAAUGUUGCUUUUGUGAUCAAGAUGAAACUAUUCAACAUCUCUUUUUGUCUUUCCCAUUUGCCACUUUAAUUUGUUAUACGGUCCAUUGCUGGUUGACUGUUUUUCAACUAAAACUCAAAGGACACAUCGGGUUGGGAGUAUGUGUGUUAUUAUGGGCAAUUUGA
rnacentral:rRNA from 1 species